CCUGCGGAGAGGAGGACGGGCACCAUCACCACCAGCAGCCUCCUCCUCCUCCUCCCCAGCAUCACCAGCCGAACCUGCCUGCCCAGCCCAAUGGACUCCUGCCAGCCCAUCGCAGAGUUCUUGGCGCACCAAUGACUCGGGGACAAUCACUACUUAUUUCUAUCAAUAGAAAGUGUUGUGUCAAUAACGCAGCCAAGAUCUCGCCAAUCGUUAACUUCCAAGAGGAGAAGGUAAACUAGAUAAUUGCUCAAUUCGCUUCCAACAGUCAACAGGAAAACUUUUUUUUUUCUCUGCAGUCAGUGACUACUUUUCAUUGGUGAGCGAAGUUCCUCCGCCCAGAAGAGGCGGGGGCGCUCUCUGCAUUGCGCCGCGCCCUCCCCUUCGCUCGCGCACUCGCUGGUGCACACUUUGCUACCCUCCAGCCACCCCCUCCCCCUUACUUCCUCCGUCUUUUUAAUUCUCAAUCUGCUUAACCAGGCUUUAGAGGCCAAGCAAAUCUGAGAUCAAUUUUCUCGUUUAGCUCUAAGUGACAUCAUCUAAAAUCAUUGUGCAAGGGCUAAAUAAGGAAACAGUCUAAUUUCAGGGGCAAAUGCCAGGCUAUAUUUAUCAAACGCCAGGCUUCAGAAAGCCUUGGCCAGGAAGUCUUUGGCAGAGAAAUCUGACGUUUCCUUGCUUGGUUCCGCUGGACCGUGAUCGGGGCCGUGUCGCCUCUUCCACAGUCCUCUUUCUUCCUCCAGGUCUGGGGGUGGCACUCUCUCGGCAUCCCAGAGUCUCCAAGGCCCGAACCGAGUCUGGACCAUUUGGAAGAAGCCAGCAGGCCUAUGAGGCGCGUCCCUCCGGACUGGGAGGCUACAAGUCAGGGCCGGACUUGAUGGAAAAAAGAACUUUAUAAACAAGGAAUCCAAUCUCUCCAACAUGUUCGUAGGAGCUGCUUAAAAGUCAAGCAACAAAAACCAGCAAAGUUUUGACUGUAAUUUACAACGGCGUUAUUGGAAACUGGGAGGUGAACAAUUAGAAGAUAACCCACCUACCCCCAAUUGGGUAGUUUGCUCCACACAUGAUAACUUUCCUACAACGAUAGGAAAAGCUGGUCAGUGCGACUGGCAGAUUAAGGUUUCGAAGCAGUCCCGGACAAUUUUUAAAACUUACCUAGUGGUCACAAAUAAAAACCAUAUUCAACACACAGUGCGAUUCUUUCCUUGAUACUACGCACGAGGUUUAAAAGUUUCGUGUUAUUUUCAAACUUUCUUAAACGAUCCCAUGAAAUAAAAGUCGAAAAUAGAAAUUCAAACAAUAUGGAGCAAAGAAUGAACUUACAGGAAGAGGGAAGCAAAUAGAGGUAAAUCGAAAAUCCUUGAGCCAGAAAUCUCCAAAGAGCUAUUUGUAAAUUCAGUUACCUCCUGAACUCCAGCCAAUAGUCUCUUCGGCUCUGGAGCGCCCCGCGCGUACCGGUUGUCCUCCGCCGCCUCCGCUUCCAUCAUCGCUCGGCCUCGGCGGCCCCAAGUCCUGCCUGCCCGGGGGACUGCUUGCGUGCUGCCGGCGGAGGAGCAGAGGCGCCCCGCCUCAUUCAGGAUUUGGUUGCCGGAGCCGAGCCAUUUAAUAGAAGCCUGCCGUGAAACAAAAAAGUCGAAAAAUCUCCCCGGUCGAGCUCUCCAUCUCUUGGUUCUGGCUUGCCGGUCCCAAGCAGUUAAAAUGAUGUUGGCCAGGCUGAGGGCGAUCAAGCUCUGUGCGACUGCUGGGUGGAGUAGCUGGAGAGAGGCUUGGAAGGGACUGGGAAGCUAGGGCGCAACUCCUGGGUAGUCGCCUGCUGGACUUCUCCGCCCGCCUGUUGCACUGCGCGCUUCAGGUCCAGCUAGUCAGCCUGGCCGAGACUUCCAGUUGCCCGGCAGCCGAGGUCAGUCACCGUGGCACUGGGGGCGCAUCAGCUCCGGAAGCCCCAAGCCUUCCGGCCUGUCACUGCCCUACGGCCUUUCCCCGGCGUGAUUGCGCUCCUCCCUCCUCCCUCUGCAACCCCGCGGGUCCUGGGGCCGCUCCAUACCCCCAGUCUGGGAAAAGGCCCGGCACUCCAAAGUUUCGGGAGGGGGCGCCGAUCUGGUUUAAGAGACCAAGUAACAGAUGGAGGAGAACUCGUGUUUGAAAAGUUUUUGAACAGAACAUUCAUUCGCUCGAUUGGACGUCUCCGGAUGUAACCGAAGGGUCAUUUAAUCUGGAUGUCAGGUGAAAGCAAGGCCUGGCAGUGUGGCGCACCUCAAAAGCAAUGAGAACAUCUUUUUAUCGUAUCUGUUUGCCAUAUUCUAAAACUAAUUUCAAAGAAGGGGUUGAACUGAGUAUGCCCUCCAAAAACAUUUCACGUCCAUUGUGUUAUGUGUCUUGUGUCCCGCCCACCUUGUGUCCCUGCAAAUCUUUUCUCAGAAACCCUUUGACCAUGGCUUAGUAGUUGGUGUCUCCUAUGGUCCUUGGGAGAGAGUUUCCUAAUUACAUUAUUCCAUAGAAGACCCGUCUCCAUAAGGAAACCUUAGGGUCUUGGUCCCACCCUCCAAUUUGUCCUGGCGUUCCCAUUUCCGAGUUCUGUGGGUCAAUUCCUGCCCUCUCCGGAAGAGGAGAUGAGACUGAGGUCCACCGAGGGCAAAAACCCGAAGCCACAUCCGACCUACUUCCAGUAGCCCCUGAGGCGAAGGAAGCAACCAGGAUGGCCAGCGCCUGGUGGGUGAAUGUCCUUCUGCUGUCCCCACUUGGGGCAUUUAGGCCUCUCCCUGACCCCAUCCUAUACUCGCAGUGUGUAGGCUUCAAGGGUUCAACAUCCACGCUAAGAAAAUCCCAAUAAGACCGAGGCUUGGUCCAUCAUUAAGAAAUCUUACUAAUGUUUCAAA